UGUUUGAAGAGCACAUAUAGUGGAAUAUAAAUGUGUCGAGAUAAGGUAUUCUUGCUUAUUAACCAUAGUAUCUUUUCUGAAUCUCGCAAUUUUGGUGGUGUACCUUGCAACAGCAUGCUUGUUGUUAUGGCUUUUUUUUACUUUGGUUUAGAAGGCAACCCAGCUAAGAGAUAGAGAUUCAGUGACAUGAAGAGUGUGAAGUGAACCACCUAUCACCACGC